ensembl:snRNA U6 U6 spliceosomal RNA
CAAAGCAAAAAUUGGAAAGAUACAGAGAUUAGUAUGGCCCCUGCACAAGGAUGACAUGCGAAUUCUUGAAGUGUUCUAUAUUUAA